AUGAUACUAGCAAUAGUCCUAUUCUUCUCCUCUCGAUCCUACCUUGGGUUAUGUUUGACAGGGAUGGUCAGUGAACUUCUAUCGGUUUCAAAGGAGGAUAGAGAUCCAUUGGGGAAGGCUCGAAAGGUUAUUCGAUAUCAAAGGUUGACCCUCGAUGCUCCGCAGCCACUUUUUUUUACUCCUUUUAUGCACUUAUGA
rnacentral:rRNA from 1 species